AUUGAACGCUGGCGGCAGGCUUAACACAUGCAAGUCGAGCGGAGUGAUGGUGCUUGCACUAUCACUUAGCGGCGGACGGGUGAGUAAUGCUUAGGAAUCUGCCAUUUAGUGGGGGACAACAUUCCGAAAGGAAUGCUAAUACCGCAUACGUCCUACGGGAGAAAGCAGGGGAUCUUCGGACCUUGUGCUAAAUGAUGAGCCUAAGUCGGAUUAGCUAGUUGGUGGGGUAAAGGCCUACCAAGGCGACGAUCUGUAGCGGGUCUGAGAGGAUGAUCAGCCACACUGGGACUGAGACACGGCCCAGACUCCUACGGGAGGCAGCAGUGGGGAAUAUUGGACAAUGGGCGGAAGCCUGAUCCAGCCAUGCCGCGUGUGCGAAGAAGGCCUUUUGGUUGUAAAGCACUUUAAGCGAGGAGGAGGCUCUUCUAGUUAAUACCUAGGAUGAGUGGACGUUACUCGCAGAAUAAGCACCGGCUAACUCUGUGCCAGCCGCCGCCGUAACAC
rnacentral:rRNA from 1 species